AUUGGAAAAUAAAGCACCUGCUUCAGCCUCAGAACUGGCUGGAGUUGUGUUAAAUGUUGUCUAAUAGUCUUUUUUUUUUUCCUUUUUAAUCUUCACUCCUGCCCUGGAGAACCUGUUGACUGACUGAGCUGGCUUGGUCAUAUCUCAGAUAAAAGCUUGCAGAACAUAACAUGUCAAUAUUCUCCCCUUUCUCGCCUGCUCUCUGUAAUGUAUUUUCUAGAGGGCAAAGCCCAGUGUAAAAAAAGUCAUGAAGAGAACAUACAGCUUUCACAAGGAUAAUUCCGUGUUCAGAAAAUCCCUGGUGUUAAAACGAAGGUUACAAAGGGCUUCUCUCCUGACCAUGCUACCUUCUAUCCCACAUCCUGUGUUCUUGAGUAGAAUUAGGCCUCAGAGGGAGAGACAGAGGAGGUAUCUGGAAGUCGCAGCCAGUACUUUUCACUGCUUCCAGCCAGCUCAGUGGAACUUUCCGAAAUAAGGAGAGUUCUCGAUCUUUAAGAGAAGGGUGCUCAGUUUGCUUUGGCUCCUAGCUCUGGAGUGUAGAAGAAACACUUUCGGUCUGGAUUCACCAUGUGCUUUCUGUUUUUGACUCCUAAUGUCCUAGUUAGGGUUUUGGUUACUGUCACAAAACACCAUGCCCGAAGAAACUUGGAGAAGAAAGGGUUUAUUUGGCUUAUAUUUCCACAGCACUGCUCAUCGUCAAAGGAAGUCAGGACAGGAACUCUGCAAGGCAGAGUCCUGGAGGAGGCAGAAGAUGAUGCAGAGGCUGUGGAGGGGUGCUGCUUACCGGCUUGAUUCCUCAUGGCCUGCUCAGCCUGCUUUCUGUAGAACCCAGAACCACCAGCCUAGGGAUGGCGUAGGGUAAAGGGGCCAAAAGAAAAAAAAAAAAAAAAAAACACCCUGAUCCUGACUUGACCCCAAGACCAGGGCCAAGAAACAGAAACCCACCAAUCCCUGAGUACAAAAAAACCCCACCAAUCCCUGAGCUCAUCCAAGAUCAGGAAUUGAAAUCCCACCAAUCCUCACCCUGGAAAUAUCCAGCCUGGAAAGCCCUACCCCCCACUAAGAAACCCUGUAUAAAACUUGUGUUCUCCUCAGUUCUUGGUUGCUUCUCUCCCCAGUACUGGCAGCCAUAUCCUUCUGGUUUUUCUCCCUCCCAAUAACUCUCCUGCGUGAAGUUUGUUGUGCGGUGUGACUGUGGUAUUCCUUGACUCCCUACUGCCAGGAUACCUCUCCGAGGAGAGCAAUGAUGCCUUUUGCUUGGGAAACCUCUUCCUGUUGGAAGAGCUGUGACACUUUGUAGGGGAAACCUUUCCCUUCAGAACUGCAACAGACGGACCCUUCCCCAUUGAUCACCAGUUAAGAAAACGCCUUACAGCUGGAUCUUACGGAGUCAUUUUCUCAAUUGAGGCUUUCUUAUCUCUGUUGACUCUAGCUGUGUCAAGCUGACACAGAACCAGCCAGUACACCUGAGCAGGACUGUAGGACCCCGACUAAGGAAACUGCUAGUCCAGCAUAUCUACCACACGUGGAUUCUAAAACUGGCUCUGGUGGCGAUCUGUUGUGACACUUCAGGGUCCUAACGUAUUUCUGAGCUGUAGUUUCACUUUAAAAUGGUUUAAGAUGCUGUCGCCUGCUUCAACCAGGGUACUUAAUUCACUGACAGUCUUCUAGUCAAGAUGCUGGUGGGAAGACACAGAGGGGACUUUGUCCGGCUCCUGGAGAAUCUGCUUGCCACUAUGCAUCCAUGUGAGAAAUUCAGUUUGUUUCCAGCAGUGAAGAAAUUCGGGAGAAACAAAGGUUUGCCUUCCUGGAGUAGCCAGAGGCUGGCCUACUCACCGCAGUGGCCUAGACGAAAAGGCACUCAGACCUAUCCGUGCUGAGGGCUGCGUUUGCUCCCCAACCACUCCACCUGAAUGGGGCACACAUUGAAGGCUUCCUGGGGGUAAGUGAGCGUAGUCUUCAAGGGCUGAACGGAGAAACAACCCAGCCAUUGUAGAGCUCCAACUGCCCGGCAAUGUGGCUCUUAAAACUGUAAAUGAAAACUUUAUGGUAUCUUCAGUGAAAACCUGAUUACUUAAGAGAGUUUUGAGUUGUUAAUGAGCAUAUCAGCCAGCCCCUGAAUAUAAACAUAGACAGACAUUUCAUGGACAAGAAUUCCCAUUGGGAAAUGGCGCUGAGGUUAAAUGGGAAGUAAUCUGAGGACUCGGGAGUGCAUCGUGGCAGAGGUGUAGUCUGGAAGGGUAAAGCUUAGCUUCGUGGCUGAAGGAGGCCUCUGUGCAGUGUGUGUGCCUAUGAGCUUACCUGAGUGAAGCAAAGCACAUGAAACCCUGAGGCAAAACUAUGUCAAACAUUUUAUUUGUAUUUUAUGUUUGGUAGAUUUAAAUAAAUAGAACAAAUUUGUUGAA